rfam:Aedes aegypti strain Liverpool supercont1.66 genomic scaffold, whole genome shotgun sequence.
UGCCCAGCAACUCCUAUCCCUACCUCCUCGCGGUACUGCCCGGGGUACGAGCAACCUUAGGGAAGAUCUUCCGGUGGGAACUUUGGUCGUAUACUGACAGGGAAGG